rnacentral:rRNA from 1 species
CGUCCGGCGACCGGCGCACGGGUGAGUAACACGUAUGCAACCUGCCCUCUUCAGGGGGACAACCUUCCGAAAGGGAGGCUAAUCCCGCGUAUAUCGGUUUCGGGCAUCCGAGAUCGAGGAAAGAUUCAUCGGAAGAGGAUGGGCAUGCGGCGCAUUAGCUAGACGGCGGGGUAACGGCCCACCGUGGCGACGAUGCGUAGGGGUUCUGAGAGGAAGGUCCCCCACCACUGGUACUGAGACACGGACCAGACUCCUACGGGAGGCAGCAG